rnacentral:lncRNA from 1 species
UUUCACGAGCAGAGACUACGCAGACCCUGGACAGACAAGGCUGCUAAGAUGUGCUGUGCCAACAGUUUCCAUCUUUGGCGAUGAGCAGACACACGUCGAAAGUCCAGGCUCUCCUUGGCCCGCGAAUACCACUGCAAUGCCCGCUCACAGCGCCGAUGAAGAAGUUCAACAGACUGAGCCCUCAUGUACGCAAAUUGUAUUGCUCUCUAAGCUCUUUAAAACUAUUCCAGAUAAAUUAAUGCCCUGCA